UACGUAGGGGGCGAGCGUUGUCCGGAUUUAUUGGGCGUAAAGAGCGUGUAGGCGGCCAUACAGGUCCGUUGUGAAAACUCGAGGCUCAACCUCGAGACGCCGAUGGAAACCGUAUGGCUAGAGUCCGGAAGAGGAGAGUGGAAUUCCUGGUGUAGCGGUGAAAUGCGCAGAUAUCAGGAAGAACACCCGUGGCUAAGGCGGCUCUCUAGUCCGGUACUGACGCUGAGACGCGAAAGCGUGGGGAGCGAACAGG
rnacentral:rRNA from 1 species